rnacentral:piRNA from 1 species
UCCCAAGUGUUGGCAAGAAUACGUGGACC